GUGCUGUUCCGUGUGCGCGGCGCAUACGCACCUGGGUUGUCUCGAGCCUGCGGUAGUGGCCAGAUCCCAGACAUCCGAGUAGAUCCCGUGAAAAGCUUCUACUUGGUUUCUUCGUACAUUCUGGAUCCACCCCUUUCAUGCAUAUUCCAGACCACAUUUCCACUGGAGCAUUUGAAAUGAAAGAGAUGGGAAUGGGACUCACCCGACCCAGAAGAAUUUUUAUUACAGACCCAUUAACAGAGGUGUCAAAGUCACAGGAACAAGGAUGUGCACCUCAGAAACACAGAGCUCAGUGGAAAAUCAGUUUGCUUCUAUUUGUUUAAAAAAUGGAGGACUUAUGCAUAAAUCUAAGACCUUCUUGAAUCUAACAUUCUAAGACCUGUAUGCCACAGAAAGGAGGGUCUCAGAAUGCCGGAGGAUAGUAUUUAAAUCUUAAACAUCUAUAUUGUUCUCCACAGUUACUGGGUCACCACAUAGCAGGCAUUCAAUAAAAACGUGUUUGUUUACUAA